rnacentral:rRNA from 1 species
UACGUAGGGGGCAAGCGUUGUCCGGAAUCAUUGGGCGUAAAGAGCGUGUAGGCGGUCCGGUAAGUCGGCUGUGAAAGUCCAGGGCUCAACCCUGGGAUGCCGGUCGAUACUGCCGGACUAGAGUUCGGAAGAGGCGAGUGGAAUUCCCGGUGUAGCGGUGAAAUGCGCAGAUAUCGGGAGGAACACCUAUGGCGAAGGCAGCUCGCUGGGACGUUACUAACGCUGAGACGCGAAAGCGUGGGGAGCAAACAGG